AUGGUUGUUAUAAAUUAUAAUGGCGUAAGAGUACGGGAAGCAAAAACUGAAUCAUUUGUGGUAAAGGAUCAUCGUGGAGAAUUGUACCAGAAGCAUCACCCACCAGUUCUUGAAGAUGAGGUUUGGAGACUGGAGAAGAUCGGCAAGGAAGGAGCUUUUCACAAGCGUUUGAAUAAGGAGAAGAUAGUUACAGUCAAAGAUUUUCUCACUUUAUUGCAUCUUGAUGCUCCUAGGCUCCGGAAGAUAUUGGGCACUGGCAUGUCAACUAAGAUGUGGGAGGUUACUAUUGAGGAUGCAAAAACAACAUGUAUACUCAGUGACAAGUUGCUUGUUUACUAUCUAGAAAACCCAAGCAAAACUGCAGUUGUGUUCAAUGCUGUUGGAGAAGUGAGAGGGUUAAUAUCGGAGAAGUUUGUUUCUGUUGAUGAUCUAACAGAAAAGGAGAAGGCUGAAGCAAAUGCAGCUGUUAAACAAGCAUUUGAAGACUGGAAGAAUGUCUCGACCUGCGACAGUGAAACACUUUUGGAGAAUCCGUCAUAG
rnacentral:rRNA from 1 species